GACUGGGGGGAAGCCUGCGUGUAGGAGCUGGCCUGAUAUUGAUGACUGUAACAUACUAGCUUGGAAAUUCAAACCUAGGGUGUGGGAGAAGGCCAAGGCCCCCAUUCUCCACAGCUGAGGAAAAAGGGGCCUCACCCGUUUCUGUCUGGUCUGCAGUAUGGAAGCCGGCAGGACUUUCUCUGGCGCCUGGCCCGAGCCUACAGUGACAUGUGUGAGCUCACUGAGGAGGUGAGCGAGAAGAAGUCAUAUGCCCUAGAUGGAAAAGAAGAAGCAGAGGCUGCUCUGGAGAAGGGGGAUGAGAGUGCUGACUGUCACCUGUGGUAUGCGGUGCUUUGUGGUCAGCUGGCUGAGCAUGAGAGCAUCCAGAGGCGCAUCCAGAGUGGCUUUAGCUUCAAGGAGCAUGUGGACAAAGCCAUUGCUCUCCAGCCAGAAAACCCCAUGGCUUACUUUCUUCUUGGCAGGUGGUGCUAUCAGGUCUCUCACCUGAGCUGGCUAGAAAAAAAAACUGCUACAGCCUUGCUUGAAAGCCCUCUCAGUGCCACUGUGGAAGAUGCCCUCCAGAGCUUCCUAAA
rnacentral:sRNA from 1 species